rnacentral:rRNA from 1 species
GAUGAACGCUGGCGGCGUGCCUAAUACAUGCAAGUCGAGCGAACAGACGAGGAGCUUGCUCCUCUGACGUUAGCGGCGGACGGGUGAGUAACACGUGGAUAACCUACCUAUAAGACUGGGAUAACUUCGGGAAACCGGAGCUAAUGCCGGAUAAUAUAUUGAACCGCAUGGUUCAAUAGUGAAAGACGGUUUUGCUGUCACUUAUAGAUGGAUCCGCGCCGCAUUAGCUAGUUGGUAAGGUAACGGCUUACCAAGGCAACGAUGCGUAGCCGACCUGGGAGGGUGAUCGGCCACACUGGAACUGAGACACGGUCCAGACUCCUACGGGAGGCAGCAGUAGGGAAUCUUCCGCAAUGGGCGAAAGCUUGACGGAGCAACGCCGCGUGAGUGAUGAAGGUCUUCGGAUCGUAAAACUCUGUUAUUAGGGAAGAACAAAUGUGUAAGUAACUAUGCACGUCUUGACGGUACCUAAUCAGAAAGCCACGGCUAACUACGUG